AGCUAAGUGGCACGUCCAUUCUCUUUCUACGAUCGCAAACGCUUUGAAAACUAAGAAAAUGUAUGGGAAUGACAUUUGCUAUCGACAGGUCACGUGAUCAAGAUCUGUCAUUCCCAUACAUUUUUCUAGUUUUCGAAGCGUUAGCGAUCGUAGAAAGUGAAUCGUCGUUCCAGUUGGCUACAGGGACAGGAUUUUAGAUGGCGCAGUUGGUAGUGCUGUGGUCCAGAGAGGUCCUGGGUACGAUUCCCAGUUGUCAGUUUAGGAUUUCCAAAUUAGCUCAGCAGGCCAAUUCACUAACUUUGACGUAUGUUUGUUGAAAUAUGCAAAAUUGAGAUUUUAUAUAACAAAUGCCUACUGACAACCCUUCGUGGAUAUCCUACAGUAGGUAGAUGACAUUUGUCAGCAGAUUUGAUGUUUAUAUUAAUGAGUUGUUAAUAAAGACCAAAUUAGUGAAUAGACCAGCAGGUUAGGAGGUUAUUAUGUAACUCAGUGUACCAUUCAAGUAAUCAGUCACUACAUCGUUUUUCAUCGUAUUUUCGUUUUUGCAAUCAUCUAACGUUGUGCUUUGUUUUAGUGGUAGGCAUCGACUGUGGCUAGUUACGGGUUACCACCCUAACGGCAAAGACGUACCGCCAAGCGAUUUAGUGUAUGUGUGCAUACACAUACAUAGAAACCGUCAGAGCAGUGGCGUGCACUUCAUAGAAGCACUAAGCACUCAAUAAAAACCUAUGUUGGACCACAUACUAAAUAGUUGAACAAAGAAUUUUCCAAUUUUUACAUAUAGUGCCUAGUUAGAAACAUUAUGCACGCCACUGCGUCAGAAGUAUGAGUAGAAUAAACUUCGACCUUUUCUAAGUAAGCCAACUUCUAUCUUAGCCUGCAUCGUCACUUAACAUCAGGUGAGAUCGCAGUCAACUUGCAGUUGAAUUAAAAAAAAAUAACGCUAUGCUAUAUUUUAUUCUAUAUUUGACGUGUCUCCACAAAAGCAAUUCAAUACCGGAUACGAAUGAGUUAAAAAAAUAAAUAAAGGUAAUAAAAAUUACCUAUUAAACACAACAUAAGAUACUUAUCUAGUUCUGCAUACAAAACCGUGAAAAGGUAUAUCUACGUAAAUGUAUGUUAAUAAAUUAUACUGUGGUCAAGACUGAAGAUAAUGAUCAGGGGAAGAUUUUCUUAAACAUUAAUUUACAAGUGACGCAUGACCGGAAUCCUGGCACUGACAUUAAAAUGUGGCAGACCCUCACGAUAUCGCAAAGGACACUACUUGUUAAAGCUACUCAAUACACUCCCGUGCCGUCCGUCAAUGCGCGCUGGCCAUUAUUAGUAAGACCACCAUCUAAUGAUUAUUAUUUAUUAGAUAGGUGGUAAUAAUUAAAGAUUGCCAUCAGCAAUUUGAUCGGAGGUCGAGGUUAAGAACUAACAAAUACCUAAAGACCUUCAACUGGUUUUUUAAAUUAAAAUAAUAAUAAUAAUUGAUUUACGAUUGUUAAUCGGUUAUUCAUUAUUGAAUUUAUGACAGAUUUAUAAAUUGAACCCUUUAAUUAUUCCAUCAAAAUUUAUUGUACAAUAUAGUACUAAUAAAAUAUAAUUUAGAUAAUGAAGUAAACAGGAUAAUU